GUUAAAAAGCUCGUAGUUGAAUUUCGGGGUCAGUAGGUCGGUCGUGCCCCUGUACGUACUGGUAUCAUUGAUUUCUCCUUUCUGACGAACAAUGAUGUCAUUAAUUUGGUGUUAUGGAAUCAGGACUGUUACUUUGAAAAAAUUAGAGUGUUUAAAGCAGGCUUUAGCUUGAAUACAUUAGCAUGGAAUAAUGAAAUAGGACGUUUGAUCCUAUUUUGUUGGUUUCUAGGAUUGACGUAAUGAUUAAUAGGGAUAGUUGGGGGCAUUAGUAUUCAAUUGUCAGAGGUGAAAUUCUUGGAUUUAUUGAAGACUAACUACUGCGAAAGCAUUUGCCAAGGAUGUUUUCAUUAAUCAAGAACGAAAGUUAGGGGAUCGAAGACGAUCAGAUACCGUCGUAGUCUUAACCAUAAACUAUGCCGACUAGGGAUCGGAUGAUGUUAAUUUUUUAAUGACUCAUUCGGCGCCUUACGGGAAACCAAAGUG
rnacentral:rRNA from 1 species